CCGGGUGUGCGAUCGGUGUGUUCAUGGUGCAUCCUCCAAACCGAACGUGCAUCCUCCCUUCGUCCCGUGAAGUGUUUUUUUUGGGUGUUUUUCUAAUUAACGAGAAAGACGACGAUUCGUAAACUCCUGACUGUAGCUGUUGACACGCGACGUAACGCCGAGCAACACUUAUUCACCGGUUUAAUUUUAAACUUUGCCCCUGUGCCUGUUCCGUUACGUAAGGAAGACUUCUGAAGGGUGAGCCUCGUGCAGGGUGCUCGAGGUACCCGACGAUUGGCCAACAUUUACGGACGUACGUUUCUGAUUGGUCAGUACGGAGGAUCGGCGCGAGAGACUGCCACGAGAUUGGUUCUGAGAAAACGUUCUAUACAACCGAACCGUGGACUCAUGCCAAAUCGUGAAUUUCAUGUCUUAAGGGAUAAUAAAAGCGCAAGGCCGCUACAAGGGUCGUGUGGCGUGCUUUAUGUUUUUUCUUUAAAUGAUCUAUCCUCGUUGUGCAGACAGCUUUAGGGUUUCGAACGACAAUGGGCUGCAGGCUUCUACCCUCUGCCACCCUCCCCCGCAAUCCUCGGGGUUAUCAACAUAACAGAUAUCCCAGUAAUACCGUUAGGAAGUUCGGUGCGGCCGGCGACAAGAGCAUCAGGAGUGUAAGAAAAAUCCGACGUAAGUAACGGACAUUUUUUUUUUUUCUUUUAAAGUCUCAACCGAUCAUAAAAUACAUUUCAAGCACGUAAUGCCUCUAUUUGUGUUCACGCGGUAGCAACGAAAAAAUGAAAAAGCAUAGCAUGUAAAAGAUAAAAGUUUUUACCAUCCUUCGAGUGAUAUGAAAAAAACUUGACUAUCCCGAGAAUUUACGUGACUGGUAAAACGAUACUGUAAAAAUAUUGUAAUGGGUAUUGUGUUAGAGAAAUGAGUAUACCUCGUAAACGGGUAAUACGAUCUUUUUCUGAUCAUAUAAAAUUAUAACGGUCUUAAUUUUUUUUAAAUAUUAGGAUUAUCUUAUAUACCGAGUGCGCCGUUGUUUUCGAAAGGAAUAUGAUCAGCGCGCGUAUCGAGUAAUAUAAACUUUUUUAGGUUAAAAAUCGACAGAUGUCGCUAGCGGACAAUCUUUUAAAAGUUUGCCGCCAAUUUCAAA